rnacentral:tRNA from 1 species
UCUAUAUUAGUAUAAAAAAUUACAUAUAAUUUCCAAUUAUAAAAUCUAAUUAGAUAUAGAA